UGAUUUUGUGAUCAAACCUUAUUUAUCCCUGCUUAUCAUGUAAUUUGGCUAUGAUCUGUUCAAUGUCAUCUCGUGGGUGCAGUCACCACUGGAAUUUCCUUGGUUUAUAUAAUUCAAAUCUCCUACCUACCCUAAAACGAAGCCUUUCAUAAACCCCUGGAACCUUCCAGCCCAGCACAGGCCUUGGGUUUUGCAGAAACCCAAGGUGCCCCACAAUGCAAACACAUGCUGUUAUGAAGCCCCAGUUACAGCUUUAGAGACUGGGGAGACAGCAGUCCUCUACCACCUCCCACACCUUCUGUGCUGCCAAAGGGACCCAGCGAGGUGAUUGCAGUCCUGGUGUCGGCACAGCAUGAACACAAGCAGCCCAUGAUACAGCUGCAUGGUCCUUCCCUCCCAGAGCUGCAGGCUCUGCAGUGCAGGUACACAAAAUGAUUGCAGAAAUCAGAGACAGAAGAAGAUGAAAACAGUUCCAGUCUGUAAGGCUGUGGAUUCUGGGCUCUGCCGUGGUGUCCUUUGAGAAAUUCUAUUUCAUGCGGGAACGAUAUGGGCUCACCAUGCUUGCUGCACCUCAGCAUGACUCCAUUAAAACUGAUCAGCCUUGGAGUUUUCUAAAUCAUCUGUCACUGUAAUAUCCUGCUGACAACUCUAUGCUCCUCUGAGCUUGCUGAAAAACCUCAAGAAUGUCCUGGAAGAAGGUCUCAGUGUUACUGGGGAAACCACAGCCUAGAAACAGAGAGUGCAGCAGCAGAGGUCUUAGCAGAGGCGCUGCAAGAUAUGAACACUGGUGCACCAUGUGCAGAAAGCUGCUGUUACCAGCCCAGUAUCCACCCGGCUGGAGUCAGCAGGAAGGAGCAUGAGCUCAGUUUUUUCUUCACACUGAAGAAUCAGGAUCUGAACUCAUUUCUGUCAUGGUUUAACAUCCUCAGCAUGUCUGAACAUCUUUCUGCACCAUUUUUAGGAUGCUGUAACCCAGCUCUCCUCGCUGCCUGGUGGUCAGAGAUUAGAGGACUAGGAUGUUUCACUGGCAGACGGCAGGGUCUUGCUUCAACAUCAAAAGCUAACUACCAUAGAUUGAUCAAGAAAUUACAGAGUGGAAGACAAAUUUUCAAUGCAUAUAUGUAAUGCCAGGAGAAUUUUCUUCAGAUUCAGCACCACAAUUUAGUACAACAGCAAAGUUCAGGGAGAAAAAAAGAUUUGCUGACAGAAAAGCCUGAACUUCUCAGCAGCAGCCCAGCUAACAUUUCCUGAAAUGGCAAUUGCACUAUAAACAGACUCACUCUGUUGGCUGUAGGGCACUGUCUCAUCUGGAAACACCCAUUUCGCAGUGGCUGCACAAUUAACAGAUAUUUCCCUAAUAAUUCACUGUCUGGAAUAUUUUGCUUUUUUUUUCAAUAAAAUUUCCUUGCCACUAAAAAGUGUACA
rnacentral:lncRNA from 1 species